rnacentral:rRNA from 1 species
CGUUCGCCUGGGGACUACGACCACUAGCUUAAAACCAAAGGACUUGGCGGUGCUUUAGAUCCACCUAGAGGAGCCUGUUCUGGAACCGAUAACCCCCGUUUAACCUCACCCUCCCUUGCUUAUUCCGCCUAUAUACCGCCGUCGUCAGCUUACCCUGUGAAGGCAGCAUAGUAAGCAAAACCAGUACAACUCAAAACGUCAGGUCGAGGUGUAGCAUACGGGAGGGGAAGAAAUGGGCUACAUUCUCUGGUUAAGAGAAUACGGAUAAUGACAUGAAAAAUCAUUUGAAGGAGGAUUUAGUAGUAAGCAAAAAGCAGAGUGUUUUGCUGAAACCGGCCCUGAAGCGCG